rnacentral:lncRNA from 1 species
AAUGUGACAGUGAAACGGCCACGCGCCGGGGUUGUCCAACUUGAACCGAAUGGCGGUCCAUGCGAAAGGGAAUGUCGGCACGUUGUUGCGCAUGGGCGGGUUCUUCAGGUUGAACGUCUUGGGGGACGUCUUGGGGUCGUACUUGCCGUCUCCGUAGCCCAGGAUCCAGAAGUCGUGGCCGUGCAAGUGCCACGGAUGGUUCUCGCUGAUGUUCUGCAGGUUGCCGCAGUUCUGGAUGAUCACGUCCACCACGUCACCGGUCUUGAACUGGUACACGCCGCUGCCCUUGUUGGUCUCGGUAACCGGCGGAGGAGCGUAGAUGUUGUAGUCCGCGGGCAUCUUGUCCGGAGGGGGAGCGGUGUCGUAGGAACCAGAGAUGUUGUACACCAGACCCGCCAGCACCGGGGUCGGCAGCGGCGCGUAGGUCACGUUGUUGAUGGCCCACUUGAUGUGUCCCUUGAGCUUUUGCUGGGUGGUGAGCAAGAUGAGGGUGCGCGUGACCUUGGCGUGCCUGUCCAAG